UCCUGGUAGUACCAAAGUGCUCAUAGUGCAGGUAGUUUUGGCAUUGCUCUACUGUAGUAUGGGCACUUCCAGUACUCUUGGAU
rnacentral:pre_miRNA from 10 species